GACGAACGCUGGCGGCGGGCUUAACACAUGCAAGUCGAACGGAAAGGGUCCACCUUGCUGUGGAUCUCGAGUCGCGAACGUGUGAGUAACACGGGGGUAAUCUUCCCUGCGCGCUGUGAUAAGCCUGGGAGACUGCUUCUAAUGCUUGAGAUGUGCUGUCUCCUGAUGGGGUUUUGUGGAAAGUUCGUCAGUGUAUGAUGCUCCGUCGGCUUAUCAGCUUGGUGGUGGGGUGAUCGCCUACCAAGGCGACGACGGGUAGCCGUCCUGAGAUGGUGAGCGGCCACCUUGGGACUGCGAUACGGAGCAGACUCGUACGGGAGACAGCAGUGGGGAAUAUUGCACAAUGGGCGGAAGUGUGAUGAAGAGACGCCGCGUGAGUAAUGACGGCCUUCGGGUUGUAAACCUCAUUCAGCAGGGACGAAGCGUAAGUGACGGUACCUGCAGAAGAAGCACCGGCUAACUACGUG
rnacentral:rRNA from 1 species